rnacentral:rRNA from 1 species
CAGUCGCCGCGGGAAAACCGAGGAUGCAAGCGUUAUCCGGAAUGAUUGGGCGUAAAGCGUGCGCAGGCGGUUUUGUAAGUCUGUCGUGAAAUCCCCGGGCUCAACCUGGGAAUGGCGAUGGAGACUGCAAGGCUAGAAUCUGGCAGAGGGGGGUAGAAUUCCACGUGUAGCAGUGAAAUGCGUAGAUAUGUGGAGGAACACCGAUGGCGAAGGCAGCCCCCUGGGCUAAGAUUGACGCUCAUGCACGAAAGCGUGGGGAGCAAACAGGAUUAGAUACCCGGGUAGUCCCUGUCUCUUAUAC